rnacentral:piRNA from 1 species
GAAAGCCUUGAUGACAUUUCUUCUGUUUU